rnacentral:rRNA from 1 species
AGAGUUUGAUCCUGGCUCAGGAUGAACGCUGGCGGCGUGCCUAAUACAUGCAAGUAGAACGCUGAAGGAGGAGCUUGCUUCUCUGGAUGAGUUGCGAACGGGUGAGUAACGCGUAGGUAACCUGCCUGGUAGCGGGGGAUAACUAUUGGAAACGAUAGCUAAUACCGCAUAAGAGCAGUUGUUGCAUGACAGCUGUUUAAAAGGUGCAAUUGCACCACUACCAGAUGGACCUGCGUUGUAUUAGCUAGUUGGUGAGGUAACGGCUCACCAAGGCGACGAUACAUAGCCGACCUGAGAGGGUGAUCGGCCACACUGGGACUGAGACACGGCCCAGACUCCUACGGGAGGCAGCAGUAGGGAAUCUUCGGCAAUGGGGGCAACCCUGACCGAGCAACGCCGCGUGAGUGAAGAAGGUUUUCGGAUCGUAAAGCUCUGUUGUAAGAGAAGAACGAGUGUGAGAGUGGAAAGUUCACACUGUGACGGUAUCUUACCAGAAAGGGACGGCUAACUACGUGCCAGCAGCCGCGGUAAUACGUAGGUCCCGAGCGUUAUCCGGAUUUAUUGGGCGUAAAGCGAGCGCAGGCGGUUAGAUAAGUCUGAAGUUAAAGGCUGUGGCUUAACCAUAGUACGCUUUGGAAACUGUUUAACUUGAGUGCAAGAGGGGAGAGUGGAAUUCCAUGUGUAGCGGUGAAAUGCGUAGAUAUAUGGAGGAACACCGGUGGCGAAAGCGGCUCUCUGGCUUGUAACUGACGCUGAGGCUCGAAAGCGUGGGGAGCAAACAAGAUUAGAUCCCCUGGUAGUCCCCGCCGUAAA